AACGAACGCUGGCGGCAGGCCUAACACAUGCAAGUCGAGCGAGGACUUCGGUUCUAGCGGCGGACGGGUGAGUAACGCGUGGGAAUGUGCCCUUCUCUACGGAAUAGCCCUGGGAAACUGGGAGUAAUACCGUAUACGCCCUAGUGGGGAAAGAUUUAUCGGAGAAGGAUCAGCCCGCGUUGGAUUAGGUAGUUGGUGGGGUAAUGGCCUACCAAGCCGACGAUCCAUAGCUGGUUUGAGAGGAUGAUCAGCCACACUGGGACUGAGACACGGCCCAGACUCCUACGGGAGGCAGCAGUGGGGAAUCUUAGACAAUGGGGGCAACCCUGAUCGAGCCAUGCCGCGUGAGUGAUGAAGGCCUUAGGGUUGUAAAGCUCUUUCAGCUGGGAAGAUAAUGACGGUACCAGCAGAAGAAGCCCCGGCUAACUCCGUG
rnacentral:rRNA from 1 species